rnacentral:siRNA from 1 species
GUGUCACGUAAUGGUUGGAAUUA